rnacentral:rRNA from 1 species
UACGUAGGUGGCGAGCGUUGUCCGGAUUUAUUGGGCGUAAAGCGCGCGCAGGCGGUUGCGUAAGUCUGCUGUGAAAUCUCCCGGCUCAACUGGGAGGGGGCGGCGGAGACUGCGGGACUGGAGGGGCUCAGAGGCCGGUGGAAUUCCCGGUGUAGUGGUGAAAUGCGUAGAGAUCGGGAGGAACACCUGUGGCGAAGGCGGCCGGCUGGGGGUAUCCUGACGCUGAGGCGCGACCGCGUGGGGAGCGAACCGG